rnacentral:sRNA from 1 species
UUUUUUCUCAGAAACAAGUGCCUGUGAUAUCGCCUAUGUUACUGAAAAACUGAGCUCGAAACAAGUUUUCCUUUUGAAGGAAUGAUCGGCAUGUGAUAUCAGUUGUCAGCAUUGUAUUUUUCUAUGUUACGCCGAUAGUUUAACAUGCAUUGUUUCAACAGGAUAAAUCGUGUAAUUUUGUUGCUUUCCAAUAGAGUAAGGAACAAAAUUCUUUACGUUUAGUUGGCGAAGUGUACUUCCAAACGAAAGUCUUAAGUAUGUAAAGAAAAUCAAAAAUGAUUUAAAUUAUUCUGGAACUGUAUAAAUGUUUAAAUUUCAAAUACCCCCCCUCUCUCUCUCUCUCUCUCUCUCUCUCUCUCUCUCUCUCUCUCUCUCUCUCUCUCUCUCUCUCUCUCUCUCUCUCAUUUCAACGAUUUCUUCCCUUUACACCACACCCUAGAAUUUGAUGACCUGAUAAGUAUAAGAAUGUCAGAGAAAAAAAAUCCACAACGCAUCAAUGAACAAUUUUAUUAACAAUAACGAUAAGAAUAAAGCUAAUCCAAACUAAUCUUCAAAAAUAACAAAAGUUAACCUUGUGAGUUGGAUUUUGCUGAUAUUCCCUUUUAAAACAAACGUAAGAUCUAGAUAUUUAUUUUCGCAUAGAGUAGAACUUAAUUCAACAGAGGAUGAAGGGUCUGUACUUGAGUGGAUUUUGGGGAGAACUGCUUGGUCAUGGAGGACCCCCACGUUUCGGACAACUGACCAGAGAAGAACAAAAUGAAAGAAAGAAAAAAAAGAUCGUCAUAACGUUUUGUAUUCAGGCUAAUCCGGGUUAGAUCACUGAUCCGUAAAUUUUUAGUUUAGAUGCAUCGAACAUGUGGGUUUUAAAUAUGUGAACAUGUGGUGGUUAGGUUUUUUAUGUUCUAAUUUAAUUGAGCAAAUAAAGAAAAACUAACAUUGUAUGCUUUUUAGUUUGUAACACCAAAAAAAUUUCAAAUAACUCCUUACAAAUGAAAGUAUGGUUUAAUAUUCCGAAGUCAAUUAUUAUUUUGAACUUGAGUCAAAACCUUUAUCAUAUUUUGAUCUGACAUUGAAAGAAAAUGUUUGACUGUUUUGUAAUUCUUCUACAUUAUUUGUAUUUAGUUAAAAUCACAAAAUAUGUUUGGUGAUCUAGCAUAAACAUAUUUUUAUUACAUAAAUUCAAUAAAGAUCUUCGAUC